GCUGGCAUGGUGGCACAUGCCUGUAGUCCCGGCUACUUGGAAGACUGAGGUGGAAGGAUCACUUGAGUCCAGGAGUUCUGGACUGCAGUGCACUCUGCUGUCUGGGUGUCUGCCCUAAAUUUAGCAUCAAAAUGAUGAUUUCCCAGGAGCAGGGUACCACCAGGGUGCCUAAGGAGGGGUGAACUGGCUCAGGUCGGAAAUGGAACAGGUCAAAACUGUUGUGUUGAUCAGUAGUGGGAUCAUGUCCAUGAAUAGCCACCACACUCCAGCUUGGGGAAUAGAGUGAGACCCUGCCUCAG
rfam:Fukomys damarensis contig132572, whole genome shotgun sequence.